GAGAUGUUGGGCAACCAAAACCAGAAAGUGGGCACAGCCUUCAGUCUGAGAGGUCAGGGGACAAAUCGGCCAGCCCUCUCUGUGCUGAGCACAGUGUCCAUGCUGAGGGGACAGUGAGGGACAAGCAUCACGUAUCCCCACCACCCUGGAGCUCACAGUCCACUAGCGAAGCUGAAAGAAGGGUGCCUCAGGACAGAGCUGGCUCGCUGUCUGCAGAGCAAUAAGACCAGCUUUUCCUGGGCAGCUGCUGGUUCAUCUCACUCGCCGGACCUGAGAUGGCUGUGAGCCUGGCAGAGAGGGAGGCCUCAUUCCGAUCACCAUCCAGCAAGCGAUGAGGAACAGUGAGAGGGACAGAACCCUAGGGACCACGGAGCUGCUCCAGCAGGGCAGCAGACAGGACACCCCCAACAGCAAGACGGAAAGCCAGAGAACUCUGGUCUGCAAAGAAGUUCUCAGUGCUGCAAUGGUGACUGUCCACGGUAAGAGCUUCCUGCCGCCUGAGGCCUGCCCAUCUGCUUCAUCAGAAAUUGCACUGAGCCAUUCUGGAUAUGAAGCGACUUCUCAUCGAAGUUUUGAUUUCCAUCUCUCUAAUGAUUAGUAAGAUCUGGUAGAAAGGAAGUAAAAAGAUCUGACCAAGCAACCCCUCACACCCUGGUGAGCAGCUGUGAGUGUGGCAGGCUACAGCCGCCCAGACGGGAGCCACCGGCAUUUACUGGGACCUGCGCCAUGCUGGGACCUGGUGUACCAGGAAACCAAGCCAAGCAACUCCUCCCCGCUGCCUGUUUUGUUUUGUUGAACUUCAAUAUACAUGAAAGUAUGGACAGCUAUUUUGAAGAGAACCAGAGACCUUACGACAGCCAUUAGUAACUUCCCUAUUGUCUACUGAAGACCUAUUCCCUAUUCCCUAUUGAAGACCUAAAAUGCCUUCCUCAUUCUGUUCAGAUCAGUUUUAUACUAUGUUGUUUUGUAUGAACUCUCUGUAUGCAAAGACACGGACAACUAUUUGGAAGAAAACAAGAGACAAUAUGACAGAUAGUGACGAUGUCAGGUUGUCUAGCUUUGAAAUUUAUAUCUCUUACAUUGCUUUCUUAUGUCCUAUUUUGUUGUGUUUAAUUUUACUCCCUUUAAAAUAAAAAGGAAGUAGGGGCUGGGGAUUUAGCUCAGCAGCAUAAACGCCUGCCUUGCAAGCAGGCAGGUGUGAGUUCGAUCCCAGGUACCGAUAAAAAAAAAAAAAAGAAAAAGGAAGUAAGGUGCGGUGGUCCCUGGUAUUGUGCUGGGCCACUUUGCUCUUGGUCAGACACUGGGAAGGAGACUCCCAGGUAAAGAUGGAGGAGUGUCCUAGGGGAGGGAGGACAUGCAGGUGGAGAGAAGUAAUGUGGAUGGAGAUCUUAUUCCAGGAGGGUCCUUGGUGCAUGUCUGUAAUCUCAGCAGUUGGGAGAGUUGCCGGCCACGGUGGACUAUAGAGUGAGUUCAAGGCCAGCCUGAACUACAUAGUGAGACCUUGUCUUAAAAUAAAACAAAACCAAGAGGAUCUUUUAGGAACAAAUGUACUGACCAUACCAGGAGAUGAUUUAGAGGGUAAAUCAGCAUGUCAGUAUGUGGUUUGCUUUGUGUUUUGUUCUGCCACUAUUGAAGAAUAAAAAGAAAGAAAGCUA